rnacentral:rRNA from 1 species
CACUAUCGUUAACUGAAUACAUAGGUUAACGAGGCGAACCGGGGGAACUGAAACAUCUAAGUACCCCGAGGAAAAGAAAUCAACCGAGAUUCCCCCAGUAGCGGCGAGCGAACGGGGAGCAGCCCAGAGUCUGAAUCAGCUUGUGUGUUAGUGGAACGGUCUGGAAAGUCCGACGGUACAGGGUGAUAGUCCCGUACACCAAAAUGCACAGGUUGUGAACUCGAAGAGUAGGGCGGGACACGUGGUAUCCUGUCUGAAUAUGGGGGGACCAUCCUCCAAGGCUAAAUACUCCUGACUGACCGAUAGUGAACCAGUACCGUGAGGGAAAGGCGAAAAGAACCCCGGCGAGGGGAGUGAAAAAGAACCUGAAACCGUGUACGUACAAGCAGUGGGAGCACCUUCGGGUGUGACUGCGUACCUUUUGUAUAAUGGGUCAGCGACUUAUAUUCUGUAGCAAGGUUAACCGUAUAGGGGAGCCGCAGGGAAACCGAGUCUUAACUGGGCGUUAAGUUGCAGGGUAUAGACCCGAAACCCGGUGAUCUAGCCAUGGGCAGGUUGAAGGUUGGGUAACACUAACUGGAGGACCGAACCGACUAAUGUUGAAAAAUUAGCGGAUGACUUGUGGCUGGGGGUGAAAGGCCAAUCAAACCGGGAGAUAGCUGGUUCUCCCCGAAAGCUAUUUAGGUAGCGCCUCGUGAAUUCAUCUUCGGGGGUAGAGCACUGUUUCGGCUAGGGGGUCAUCCCGACUUACCAACCCGAUGCAAACUACGAAUACCGAAGAAUGUUAUCACGGGAGACACA